UACGUAGGGCGCAAGCGUUGUCCGGAAUUAUUGGGCGUAAAGGGCUCGUAGGCGGUUUGUCGCGUCUGCCGUGAAAGUCCGGGGCUCAACUCCGGAUCUGCGGUGGGUACGGGCAGACUAGAGUGAUGUAGGGGAGACUGGAAUUCCUGGUGUAGCGGUGAAAUGCGCAGAUAUCAGGAGGAACACCGAUGGCGAAGGCAGGUCUCUGGGCAUUAACUGACGCUGAGGAGCGAAAGCAUGGGGAGCGAACAGG
rnacentral:rRNA from 1 species